rnacentral:lncRNA from 1 species
AUUCAAUGAGAAACAAUAUUCAGGUCAGGUCAAAGCCUAGAGAAAAAUGCGCAUUCAGAAGUGGGCUGCCAUCCUGCUUUUUCUGAAGUGAACAGCUGCUGGGUAUUGAAACCAGCCCUCACGGUUGGGUCCCUGCCACCAUGGCAACACUCUGGUUUCUGAGCUGGAGUGGCCAAGGCACAAUGGGGUGGUUCCAUGGCCCAGAAGCACUCUAGCUACAGAUUAGAAUGAUGACAAGAGUAAUACCUUCCUAGUGAAGAUGACUUUUAUUUCAGGACUAUAUUAAGUUUCCCAACUUCUGUCAUGAUAUAGUCCAAAGAGAACCUGGACCACGCAGACAUCAAACAGAACAUGACACUGACCCAUUCUAUCAGUGACGUUGUGCUGAUUGCACAGGACAGAUGAGAGGCUCGUAUACUAGAAGUCUUGGUGGUUAUCAAACCUGGGUCAAAGUUGAAUCACCUGAGGAUCUUUUAGAACAUACACAGCCAGCUGGACCUGCCCUCAGCUACCUCAUCUCUCUCUGUGACCUAAUGACAGAAAAGCACAUGAUUCUCUUCACCUGACUUCAUAUAUGGGUCCAUGUCAUAUGAUACUUCAAAAUCUGUGAUUCCAUGAAGCCAAGAGUAGCUCUUCAACAGGAAAUGAAUGAGUGCUUCAGCUUCUGAUCCCAUUAGUAAGAAAAUACAGUCUUAUGAGCAAUGAUGGAGCUGCAUCUCUUAGGGGCAUUUGAUUCCCAAGAGACCAAAGAGCAAAGAGAAUGUCAAUUUAAAAAAAUCAAAUGUUUCCAUGACUUAGCUAUUUAACUGCUUUAAAAUGAAUGAAUGCUGCUUCAAGUUCUUUCAAAUACCCCACAUCUUGGCAACAACGAAAGGAAUUAACAUGAAGAAAAUUUACAAUCUUUCAUCACAUCGAACAAUGUCCCACAUUUGAAAAGUUCACAGCACAGAUUUCUGGUUACUGAAAGAAAGGAAAGACCUUCUUUGGAUUUGAAUAAACAGAUGGACUUUCUUCUCCUUUUUCUUAUAGUGCCCGAUUUGUGUAAAGGGAGGUGGGAAGAAAACAUCUUAGCUUAAAAGAGUGUCCUAUAAAAUAAAAGGUUUCAUACUU